rnacentral:lncRNA from 1 species
UUCAAACCAAUCAAUGCAUAGUAAUCUACAUUCCCCGUUUCGCCAUUUGCAACCCUCUUCUUCAAUUCUUGAAUCUUAGUAGCCAAGGAACAAAGCAUCCCUGGAAUUUCCCUGUAUUCCACGUUUUGACGCUUCCAUAUUGGUCCUGAUAAUUUCCUAUCACGUAGAAUUGAAUUGUACAAGAGUUUUAAGUGUUCCAAAUCGUGAAGACUAUCGGGCAAGCAUCUUAUGGUUUCAAAUAGUGCAGCCCUGGUCCU